UUCAGAAAAAACCCUCACCUUCGCAAGAACACCCAAAACGCAACCCUCGCAGCAACCUUAACCCCUCACCUUCGCAAGAACCGGCGAUGCAAACCCUCACCGCCGUCCUCUACCGGCGACAAGAUUGAACCCUCCGCAACCUUUAAUCAACUCACCACCAGCGCCGUCCUCUCUCUCACUCGCAGUCGUCCUCUCUCUCACGAACCCUAACUCCAAAUCGAAGCUUAACUCCAAAUCGAAGCUUCUCUUUCUUUCUCCGGCCUCUACUCUCACGAAUCGAAGCUUGUCGUUCUCUCUCACCCUAGAUUCGCGAUCGAAGAGAUGUCUCUCUAACACUUGUUCUCUCUCGAACCCUAGCCUCCAAUCCCUUUCAUUGAAUCACAAAUUCUAAUCCCUAAUUGAAGAACCAAGGCUUACUGAACCCAAAUCGAAGCUCAGUGAAACGAAUCAAAGCUCUCUCAGCUCGUUACAGAGUCAUAAACUGUUCCGGGAGAAGACAAUGGAUGAUCAAGAACCUACUGAUUUGCUGGUUCAUACAGUCGUGGCCUCUGUUGUGCCAGAAUUGCUUAGCAAGAAGACUACUUUGAAAAGGGUGACUUGAUUUCAUCUCAAUUUUUAUGUAUUUGAAACAUAAUUUAUCUUUGUGUUUGAUGGUUAACACUUAACAAGGUUCCUCUUUAUGGUUGAUUUUUAUGCCUUUAUUAUGAUUAUUAGAAUUUAAUUUGUUGUUCUGAA